rnacentral:rRNA from 1 species
GUUAAUAGGGAGGUAGUCUACUUUUUUACAAGUACGCACUGUCGACCUAUUUCCUUCUUUUCAGUAACAAAUUUAUUUGUUCUGAAUCUUUUACUUUGAAAAAAUUAGAGUGUUCAAAGCAGGCGUAUUUUGCCUUUGAAUAUAUUAGCAUGGGAUAAUAGAAUAAGACUUUUUGCCUUAUUUUCGUUGGUUCUUUAGGGCUAAAGUA